UACGAAGGGAGCUAGCGUUGUUCGGAAUCACUGGGCGUAAAGGGCGCGUAGGCGGGAUGACAAGUCGGUCGUGAAAUCCUUCGGCUCAACCGAAGAACGUCGGCCGAUACUGCCGUUCUUGAGGGAUGCAGAGGAGAUUGGAAUUCCCGGUGUAGCGGUGAAAUGUGUAGAGAUCGGGAGGAACACCGGUGGCGAAGGCGGUUCUCUGGGACGGUACUGACGCUGAGACGCGAAAGCGUGGGGAGCGAACAGG
rnacentral:rRNA from 1 species